rnacentral:rRNA from 1 species
UGCCAGCCGCCGCGGUAAUACGGAGGGUGCGAGCGUUAAUCGGAAUUACUGGGCGUAAAGCGCACGCAGGCGGUUUGUUAAGCUAGAUGUGAAAGCCCCGGGCUCAACCUGGGAUGGUCAUUUAGAACUGGCAGACUAGAGUCUUGGAGAGGGGAGUGGAAUUCCAGGUGUAGCGGUGAAAUGCGUAGAGAUUGGAAGGAACACCGAUGGCGAAGGCACUUUACUGGGCUAUUACUAACACUCAGAGACGAAAGCUAGGGUAGCAAAUGGGAUUAGAUA